CGCCAAGCCCGCGAGCGCCGCUAACCGGCUCGGAGGAUCAAAAAAUCGCGCUGCACCCGGUACGGAGCGCCUACACAGAAACCGGAUUGACUGGGACCAAUACUGGCUCAAGUCGAACAGAAGAGAAAGGAACCUGGGACCCCUGAAAGCUGAGUGCACCCAUGUUUCACUGUGCCUGUUAGAACUGGUACACCAGCCAGGAGCUGCCAUUUCCCCUGUGUUAGAGCCCAAGCUGACCUGGGCAGCCAGGCCAUGGAUCUGAAUUUCCUUUGAUGGCAAGAAAGGUAGAUCAAGCCGGCUUUGAACUCACAGAGAUCCACCUUUCUUCAACUCCUGGCUGCUGGGACAAGAAAUGUGUGCCACCAUGCCUACUCCAGUCACAUUAAUAACCACCGAAAUAAAUACAGUAAUACAGUG
ensembl:lncRNA